rnacentral:misc_RNA from 1 species
CGUGCCCGUCCACCGAACGGUCGGCAGGCGAUCCUCGUCGGUCAAGCGAGGUGGUAUGGUUCCCCAGAGGCCGGUUCUUGUGCUGCCUACCCCUUCAGGGGAAGCGGGCCACUUGAUGUAAGCCUCCAUCCGGCGCCCUCCAACGGGCGCAGGAGGACAACGGAGCACCCCCCGCGUUCCACCGAGCCCCAGCCGGUCGCGUGGCGCGCGGGGACGUGCGAUGCUCUCGGACCCAGCGAACGCCGUGGGCGAGGACUCACGUCCCAGUCCCUAUAGAAGCUCCGAUAUAAUGCAUGACGGCCGCUCCCGACCCCCGACCGCCCCGGCGGCGCGGGGGCGAGGCGCGGCGUC